rnacentral:lncRNA from 1 species
AAGUAAACAGUUUGGUUUUAUAGUGUUAACAUGGCCUGGUGAGAAUACAGAAGCCAAAGUUGGAAGCCUGAGGUCCCUAACCCCCAGAUCCACAACUGACACGAUAGCUUUGUUUCCACCAUAAACAUGACCUAUUGCUGUCCUUUAGGAAUACAUAUUCAACAGUUCUCUGAAAAGCACUUUAGAAUCUUAAAUAUAAUUAACAGUUAUUUGCUAUCUGGAAAUACGGAAUUCUGAUCCUUCCCCUCUUCACACCCAAAUACAUAAAAAGCCACAUUUUAAAUUUCAUGUCAUUAUUUACUUCUGUUCCUCCAAUAUUUGAAAAAAUUAAACUUCCAUUUCCCCCCCCUCUCAACUAUCAUCCAUAAGCCUGAAUUUGGGAAGGAGUUCUUAAAAGUCCUUAAAAUGAUG